rnacentral:Y_RNA from 1 species
CGCUGGUCUGAAGGUAGUGAGUUAUCUUAAUUGCUUGUUCACAGUCACAGACCGAAGUCCUUGUUUUACUCUUUCCCUCCUUCUCACUACUGCACUUGACUAGUCUAAA